rnacentral:rRNA from 1 species
UACGUAGGUGGCAAGCGAUACUCGGAAUCACUAGGCGUAAAGCGCAGGUAGGCGGUUUGGUAAGUCUUUUGUGAAAGCUCCCGGCUCAACUGGGAGAGGCCAAAGGAAACUACUAGACUAGAGUGUGGUAGGGGAUACUGGAAUUCCCGGUGUAGUGGUGAAAUGCGUAGAGAUCGGGAGGAACACCAGUGGCGAAGGCGGCCGGCUGGGGGUGCCCUGACGCUGAGGCGCGAAAGCGUGGGGAGCGAACCGGG